CCCCUAGAUGUUCUGGGCCGCACGCGCGCUACACUGAACAGUUCAACAAGUCUUAACCUUGGCCGAUAGGUCUGGGUAAUCUUUGAACGCUGUUCGUGAUUGGGAUAGACCUUUGCAAUUAUGGGUCUUCAACGAGGAAUUCCUAGUAAAUGCAAGUCAUCAGCUUGCAUUGAUUACGUCCCUGCCCUUUGUACACACCGCCCGUCGCACCUACCGAUUGAAUGGUCCGGUGAAAUCUCGGGACGGCGGCUUGGUCGCUUGCGUCCGACUGCUGAAACUUGAUUAAACCAUAUCAUUUAGAGGAAGGUGAAGUCGUANCA
rnacentral:rRNA from 1 species